GGCUAGAAUCAAGCGUGGGGAUUCUAACUCCGAUCCGAGUGAGAGGAUGUGGUAUUCAGCCAUCAUCGACUCGGCGCCCAAGGAAGGAUAUCUGUUGGGUUCUUCUAUAUUUCCCGGGUUCCCUUCUACGGUACCUACCUACUAUCCGGCAAGCGACGUUGUUGGGACAGGGUAGUAAUCGCAGUUGAUCGCAAUGAUGAAUGGCUUUCAUAUGAUAUCACAUUGGAUGGAAUGUCAACAAAGAGAGCUGAGAGAGCCUCAUCACGACCCUUUCAUUACUCUCAGGUUUGAAUGGUACCUCUAGGUAUUAGGUACGUAUUUCCGAGCAAAACUGGUCCACGUGGUGGUCAGAGUCGCCGUUAUCUCCGCCCAUCGUCCGUACACUAGUCUAGUGCACCUAGUGUAGCUGGCGCUAGAUAUGCCCGCCCGCCCGCCCGCCCGCUGAGCCCACUAAAAAAACAAAACACCCGCCAGAGCCCGUCAAAAAUCAGUCCGUCCGAUGCGCCCGGGAACGACCUGACCUAAAACCCACUCACACCCACCACGAACCCGACCGACUUCCGAGAACUACUUACCUCUACCAUAUAACCUAUGUACCUAAUGAAGGACAACAAAAGUGAGUCCGUGUCUGAACACUAGGUACAUACGUGGUGUGCAGUGUACUACA